AACGAACGCUGGCGGCAGGCUUAACACAUGCAAGUCGAGCGCCCCGCAAGGGGAGCGGCAGACGGGUGAGUAACGCGUGGGAAUCUACCGAGCCCUGCGGAAUAGCUCCGGGAAACUGGAAUUAAUACCGCAUACGCCCUUUGGGGGAAAGAUUUAUCGGGGUUUGAUGAGCCCGCGUUGGAUUAGCUAGUUGGUGGGGUAAAGGCCUACCAAGGCGACGAUCCAUAGCUGGUCUGAGAGGAUGAUCAGCCACAUUGGGACUGAGACACGGCCCAAACUCCUACGGGAGGCAGCAGUGGGGAAUAUUGGACAUGGGCGCAAGCCUGAUCCAGCCAUGCCGCGUGAGUGAUGAAGGCCCUAGGGUUGUAAAGCUCUUUCACCGGUGAAGAUAAUGACGGUAACCGGAGAAGAAGCCCCGGCUAACUUCGUGCCAGCAGCCGCGGUAAUACGAAGGGGGCUAGCGUUGUUCGGAAUUACUGGGCGUAAAGCGCACGUAGGCGGAUAUUUAAGUCAGGGGUGAAAUCCCGGGGCUCAACCCCGGAACUGCCUUUGAUACUGGGUAUCUCGAGUAUGGAAGAGGUGAGUGGAAUUCCGAGUGUAGAGGUGAAAUUCGUAGAUAUUCGGAGGAACACCAGUGGCGAAUGGCGGCUCACUGGUCCAUUACUGACGCGGACGGUGCGGAAAGCGUGGGGAGCAACACACGAUUACKAUACCCUGGUAGCUCGCACGCCGUACACGAUGAAUGUUAGCCGUCAUGCGAGCAUGCAUGUCAGUGGCGCAGCUAACGCAUGACACAUUCCGCCUGGGGAGUACGGUCGCAAGAUUAAAACUCAAAGGAAUUGACGGGGGCCCGCACAAGUGGUGGAGCAUGUGGUUUAAUUCGAAGCAACGCGCAGAACCUUACCAGCCCUUGACAUCCCGAUCGCGGUUAGUGGAGACACUUUCCUUCAGUUCGGUCUGGAUCGGAGACAGGUGCUGCAUGGCUGUCGUCAGCUCGUGUCGUGAGAUGUUGGGUUAAGUCCCGCAACGAGCGCAACCCUUCGCCUCUAGUUGCCAUCAUUCAGUUGGGCACUCUAGAGGGACUGCCGGUGAUAAGCCGAGAGGAAGGUGGGGAUGACGUCAAGUCCUCAUGGCCCUUACGGGCUGGGCUACACACGUGCUACAAUGGCGGUGACAAUGGGCAGCUAACCCGCGAGGGUGAGCUAUAUCUCCAAAAGCUGUCUCAGUUCGGAUUGCACUCUGCAAUCUCGAGUGCAUGAAGUUGGAAUCGCUAGUAAUCGUGGAUCAGAAUGCCACGGUGAAUACGUUCCCGGGCCUUGUACACACCGCCCGUCACACCAUGGGAGUUGGCUUUACCCGAAGGUGCUGUGCUAACCGCAAGGAGGCAGGCAACCACGGUA
rnacentral:rRNA from 1 species